GUGCUCGCUUCGGCAGCACACAUACUAAAAUUGGAACGAUACAGAGAAGAUUAGGAUGGCCCCUACCCAUGGAACCUUAAAGAGGAUACAAGACAGCAAAUUCA
rnacentral:snRNA from 1 species